rnacentral:lncRNA from 1 species
AGCUUCCAUCCGGGCUGUAACCAAUCCUCGCUCGUCCGCCUCUUCUAUUGGCUGCUUUUCUAUCUUCCUCUCUUCUCUCCUUCCUCUCAUCCUGAUUUCCCUCUUCUAUUUUCUAUCUUCUUUAUUUUUGGCCUAUUUUCUUCCCUAUUUUCUUCUUUUUCUUCCCUAUUUUCUAUCUUCUUUUUUGCCUAUUUUCUUCUCAUUUUUUCCCUGUUUUCUUCUUUUUUUUCCCUAUUUUCCUCUUUUUUCCCAAUUUUCUUCUUUUUAAUUUGCUUUUUUUUUGGCUUAUUUUCUUUUUUCUUUUUCUUUUUGCUUAUUUUCUUUUUUCUUUUUUUUUGCUUAUUUUCUUUUUUCUUUUUUUUUUUGCUUAUUUUCUUUUUUCUUUUUUUUGCUUAUUUUCUUUUUUUUGCUUUUUUUUUUCCUUUUUUGGCUUAUUUUCUUUUUUUGCUUUUUUUUUUUUUCCUUUUUUUGCUGUUUUUUUUCUUUUGGCUUAUUUUUUCUUUUUUCUUUGCUUAUUUUUUUUCUUUUUUUUUUUUGCCUAUUUUCUUCUUUUUUUCCCUAUUUUCUUCUUAUUUUCCCUAUUUCUUCUUGUAUUUUCCUCUUUACCAUCUCCUUCCUUUUUCCUAUGCUCAUUUUUUUCUAUUUUCUUGGAUUUUCCCCUAUUUUUUAAGUAUUCUUCUAUUUUCUCGUUUUCCUAACUCACUUUUUGUUUCCAUUUUCUUUCUUUUCCACUUCAUUUCUCUAUUGCCUUCUUUCAUUUCUCUUAUUUUCUACCUUCUCUCUUUUUUUUUCCUAUUUCCUCUUCUAUUUUUUCUGCUUUUCUUCUAUUUUCUCCUCUCUUCUAAUUUUCUUCUAUUUUUCCUAUUUUCUCUAUUCUUCUGUUUCUUCACUUUCUAUUCUUCUCUACUUCUCCUUUUCUCUUCUUUUUUUUCCUAUUUUUCCCCAAUUUUCUCUAUUUUUUCUGCUUCUCUUCCAUUUCUACUUCUCUUUUUUCUAUUAUUCCCUAUUUUUUCCUCUUCUUUUUUUCCAUUAAUCUCCAAUUUUCCUUUUUCCCCCCCAAUUAUUUCCUUCUCUCCUCUGUCUUUUUCUUUCCAUCGUUUCCUCCUCUCUUUCAUUGUUUUUUGGCCAUUAUUUCCUCUUUUGCUCCCGUUUCCAUUUUGCCCUCCGCCUUCCGUCCUACGGACCCCAAUACAUAUUUUGAACCAAAAAGUCCUUUUUUCUCCUCUAAAUCCUCCCUGCCUCGUCGCCGCCUCCGCUCUUCCCGGCUCUGAAAUGCCAAAUUCUCCUAAAACGCCCCCAAAACAGCUCCAACGGGGACCAAAACGCCUUUUCUCCUCCUCCUCUUGCCACGUUUUGGGUUAAGAAUGCAGCUUUUUUGGCUGUGUUG